UGCCGAAGUGGCGGAACUGGCAGACGCACAGGACUUAAAAUCCUGCGGUGGUUAAACACCGUACCGGUUCGAUUCCGGUCUUCGGCACCAA
rnacentral:tRNA from 5 species